UAAGGAAUAUUGGUCAAUGGAGGCAACUCUGAACCAGCCAUGCCGCGUGCAGGAAGACUGCCCUAUGGGUUGUAAACUGCUUUUAUCCGGGAAUAAACCACGAUACGUGUAUUGUGCUGAAUGUACCGGAAGAAUAAGGAUCGGCUAACUCCGUGCCAGCAGCCGCGGUAAUACGGAGGAUCCAAGCGUUAUCCGGAUUUAUUGGGUUUAAAGGGUGCGUAGGCGGCCCGUUAAGUCAGGGGUGAAAGACGGUAGCUCAACUAUCGCAGUGCCUUUGAUACUGACGGGCUUGAAUGAACUAGAGGUAGGCGGAAUGAGACAAGUAGCGGUGAAAUGCAUAGAUAUGUCUCAGAACACCGAUUGCGAAGGCAGCUUACUAUGGUUUAAUUGACGCUGAGGCACGAAAGCGUGGGGAUCAAACAG
rnacentral:rRNA from 1 species